AUAACAGUUGGAAACGACUGCUAAUACCGCAUAACCUGUACCGACGGAUGUCUGGUAUAGCAAAGAUGGCCUCUGAAUGAAAGCUAUCACUUAUGGAUGGGCCCGCGUCUGAUUAGCUAGUUGGUAGGGUAAAGGCCUACCAAGGCGACGAUCAGUAGCCGGCCUGAGAGGGUGGACGGCCACACUGGGACUGAGACACGGCCCAGACUCCUACGGGAGGCAGCAGUGGGGAAUAUUGCGCAAUGGGGGAAACCCUGACGCAGCGACGCCCGCGUGAGCGAAGAAGGCCUUAGGGUCGUAAAGCUCUGUUAUAAGGGACGAAGGUUACCAUGGUUAAUACCCGUGGUAAGUGACGGUACCUUAUGAGUAAGCCCCGGCUAACUACGUGCCAGCCGCCGC
rnacentral:rRNA from 1 species